AUCAACGCCUGGCGGCGCGCCUAACACAUGCAAAGUCGAACGAGAAAGCCGCAAGGCAAGUAAAGUGGCGUACGGGUGAGUAACACGUGGAUUAUCUGCCCUCUAGUGGGGAAUACCGUUGGGAAACCGACGACAAUACCGCAUAAGCUCGAGAGAGGAAAGCAGCAAUGCGCUGGAGGAGGAGUCCGCGGUCGAUUAGUUAGUUGGCAGGGUAAAAGCCUACCAAGACUGUGAUCGAUAGCCGGCCUGAGAGGGCACACGGCCCACACUGGCACUGAAACACGGGCCAGACUCCUACGGGAGGCAGCAGUGGGGAAUCUUGCACAAUGGGGGGAAACCCUGAUGCAGCGACGCCGCGUGAGCGAUGAAGCCCUUCGGGGUGUAAAGCUCUUUCGGCAGGGAAGAUUAUGACGGUACCUGCAGAAGCAGCUGCGGCUAACUACGUGCCAGCAGCCGCGGUAAUACGUAGGCAGCAAGCGUUGUUCGGAGUUACUGGGGCGUAAAGGGUGCGUAGGCGGCUUUUUAAAGUUUGGUGUGAAAUCUCCCCGGCUCAACUGGGAGGGUGCGCCGAAUACUGAGAGGGCUAGAGUGCGGGAGAGGAAAGUGGAAUUCCUGGUGUAGCGGUUGAAAUGCGUAGAUAUCAGGAGGAACACCUGUGGCGAAGGCGGCGCACUGGACCAUAACUGACGGCCUGAGGCGCGGAAAGCUAGGGGAGCAAACAGGAUUAGAUACCCUGGUAGUCCUAGCCCUAAACGAUGGAUGCUUGGUGUAGCAGGUACCCAAUCCUGCUGUGCCGCAGCUAACGCGUUAAAGCAUCCCCGCCUGGGGAGUACGGUCGCAAGGCUGAAACUCAAAGGAAUUGACGGGGGGCCCGCACAAAGCGGUGGAGCAUGUGGUUCAAUUCGACGCAACGCGAAGAACCUUACCUGGGCUCGAAGCGCAGUGGACCGGGGUGGAAACAUCCCUUUUUCGCAAGAACUGCUGCGGAGGUGCUGCAUGGGCUGUCGUCAGCUCGUGUCGUGAGAUGUUGGGUUAAGUCCCGCAACGAGCGCAACCCUUAUCCCUAGUUGCCAUCGGGUCAAGCCGAGCACUCUAGUGAAACUGCCUCGGAUAACGAGGAGGAAGGUGGGGAUGACGUCAAGUCCUCAUGGCCUUUUAUGUCCAGGGCUACACACGUGCUACAAUGGUCGGUACAAAACCGUCGCAAACCCGUGAGGGGGGAGCUAAUCGGAAAAAGCCGGCCUCAGUUUCGGAUUGGAGUCUGCAACCCCGACUCCAUGAAGCUGGGAAAUCGCUAGUAAUCGCGGAUCAGAACGCCGCGGUGAAUACGUUCCCGGGCCUUGUACACCACCGCCCCGUCACAUCACGAAAGUGGGCCGUACUAGAAGCAGGUGUGCUAACCGCAAGGAGGCAGCCUUCCAAGGUACAGCUCAUGAUUGGGGGU
rnacentral:rRNA from 1 species